AACAGGAUUAGAUACCCUGGUAGUCCACGCCGUAAACGAUGUCGACUUGGAGGUUGUUCCCUUGAGGAGUGGCUUCCGGAGCUAACGCGUUAAGUCGACCGCCUGGGGAGUACGGCCGCAAGGUUAAAACUCAAAUGAAUUGACGGGGGCCCGCACAAGCGGUGGAGCAUGUGGUUUAAUUCGAUGCAACGCGAAGAACCCUACCUACUCUUGACAUCCAGAGAACUUUCCAGAGAUGGAUUGGUGCCUUCGGGAACUCUGAGACAGGUGCUGCAUGGCUGUCGUCAGCUCGUGUUGUGAAAUGUCGGGUUAAGUCCCGCAACGAGCGCAACCCUUAUCCUUUGUUGCCAGCGGUUCGGCCGGGAACUCAAAGGAGACUGCCAGUGAUAAACUGGAGGAAGGUGGGGAUGACGUCAAGUCAUCAUGGCCCUUACGAGUAGGGCUACACACGUGCUACAAUGGCGCAUACAAAGAGAAGCGACCUCGCGAGAGCAAGCGGACCUCAUAAAGUGCGUCGUAGUCCGGAUUGGAGUCUGCAACUCGACUCCAUGAAGUCGGAAUCGCUAGUAAUCGUAGAUCAGAAUGCUACGGUGAAUACGUUCCCGGGCCUUGUACACACCGCCCGUCACACCAUGGGAGUGGGUUGCAAAAGAAGUAGGUAGCUUAACCUUCGGGAGGGCGCUUACCACUUUGUGAUUCAUGACUGGGGUGAAGUCGUAACAAGGUAACC
rnacentral:rRNA from 1 species